GCUUAAGGCCACACCGGCCUGAGUACGCCUGAUCUCGUCCGAUCUCGGAAGCUAAGCAGGGUCGGGCCUGGUUAGUACUUGGAUGGGAGACCGCCUGGGAAUACCAGGUGCUGUAAGCU
ensembl:rRNA 5S_rRNA 5S ribosomal RNA